GACGAACGCUGGCGGCGUGCCUAAUACAUGCAAGUAGAACGCUGAAGGAGGAGCUUGCUUCUCUGGAUGAGUUGCGAACGGGUGAGUAACGCGUAGGUAACCUGCCUGGUAGCGGGGGAUAACUAUUGGAAACGAUAGCUAAUACCGCAUAAUAUUGACUAUUGCAUGAUAGUCAGUUGAAAGGUGCAACUGCACCACUACCAGAUGGACCUGCGUUGUAUUAGCUAGUUGGUGGGGUAACGGCUCACCAAGGCGACGAUACAUAGCCGACCUGAGAGGGUGAUCGGCCACACUGGGACUGAGACACGGCCCAGACUCCUACGGGAGGCAGCAGUAGGGAAUCUUCGGCAAUGGACGGAAGUCUGACCGAGCAACGCCGCGUGAGUGAAGAAGGGUUUCGGAUCGUAAAGCUCUGUUGUAAGAGAAGAACGAGUGUGAGAGUGGAAAGCUCACACUGUGACGGUAUCUUACCAGAAAGGGACGGCUAACUACGUG
rnacentral:rRNA from 1 species